AUUUUACAGCAGACACGAGCGAGGAAUAUAAUGUAGAUAGUACCUCGUUUUUUGAAGUGCUGCCAGCUAGCGAUGGUAAAAUCAUUUAAGUUUUUAGACUAAAGAUUGUUAUCGUAGACAUGCACUUUGGUUGACACCCACUCUUCAGUCAACGGUUGACAGAACGUUUUUAUACAUUUGCAUUUAUUUAAAUACUUUAGUAAAGUUCAAUUUAUUUUCAUUGUGAUUUUGUGGCGGUGUGGAACGAUGACAUGGUUCAAGGAGCAAUUAUUACUCGAUCAUUUCAAGAGCGUAGGAAUGGCUAUGGAUUUUCCAUGACAUAGAAACAGAGUUGCCACAGUCUCCUCGACAUAGCUCAAUUGUUCAGAGAAGAUGGGCCGGUAGAAGUUAUUUUUGGUAUACUAGCAGUGCAGCAGCUGUCUCUGUCAGUAUAGCGACUCCAUCGAUGCACGACUCUUCUGAGCUCCAUCGAGACAACAGAGUGUAGAAAACAAGUCUCAUUGACGGAUUUACUUCGAGUGUAGGAUUUUUAUCCUAUAAGUACGGUGUUUAAUUUUUUUCCUUCAAACAAGGGUGACAGAUAUAGAUUUUGCUUCGUAAUUCCGGAGUGAUACAUAUUGUAGGAUGUUUUUGGGGCGUUGUAUGUUCAAUUUCUACAUUAGAACCGGUCUGCUGGUAAAGUAUACAUGACUGACGAUAUUCAGUAGCUGUUAUUUGGAGUGUUCGAUUCGAGUUCAUUUGUGAGUGAAAUAUUUUACCAGGUGAAUAUGUUUUACAGAAUUUGAGAAGAAACGAAUAGAUUAGGUAUAUAUAGGAGGAUAUAUAUAGAAGAAUAUUCAUUGCCUUGUCCAAAUAUCGGAAGUAAAUCAAUGGCUUAGUCUAUAAACUGAACUUAUUAAACUAGACAUUGUUUCUUAGGUUUGCUAUCUAUGCAAAGGCUUCGUUAUCAAUUCAGUUGGCAGAUUUUCCUAACGUCUUUUGACUCCAGAAACAUGAAUCCGUCGAGUGAAUAAAACUAGAAGUAAUAUUCGAGUAAUAUAUCGGAGUAUAUGAGUAGGAGUAUAUGUAAAGAAGUUCUAGGAGUAAUAUAUUUGAGAUAACUCAAUUUUUCCGCAGCUUGGAUCAAGUUAGUUGAUUUAUUUACACCCAGUUCUCCAUAUUUCUUGUUCAGAAGAUCAACGAGCAGUUUUUCUCCUCAUUGGGAAUGAAAGAUCAUCCUAUUUGCAUCGCAGAGCAACUCGUUAGGACAGUUGGGAGUAGAUUAUUUGUUUCAAUCAAUCGUGACACACAAAUGACUGUACUGUACACAUUUUUUUUCUAAGAACAAUUUAAUCUAUUACACUGUUGAACUUUU